UACAGAGGGUGCAAGCGUUAAUCGGAUUUACUGGGCGUAAAGCGUGCGUAGCCGGUUAUUUAAGUCGGAUGUGAAAGCCCCGGGCUCAACCUGGGAAUUGCAUUCGAGACUGAAUAGCUAGGGUGCGGUAGAGGGAAGCGGAAUUUCCGGUGUAGCGGUGAAAUGCGUAGAUAUCGGAAGGAACAUCAGUGGCGAAAGCGGCUUCCUGGACCAGCACCGACGUUCAGGCACGAAAGCGUGGGGAGCAAACAGG
rnacentral:rRNA from 1 species